UACGUAGGGUGCAAGCGUUGUCCGGAAUUACUGGGCGUAAAGCGUGCGCAGGCGGUGAUGUAAGGCAGAUGUGAAAUCCCCGGGCUCAACCUGGGAACUGCAUUUGUGACUGCAUCGCUGGAGUGCGGCAGAGGGGGAUGGAAUUCCGCGUGUAGCAGUGAAAUGCGUAGAUAUGCGGAGGAACAUCGAUGGCGAAGGCAAUCCCCUGGGCCUGCACUGACGCUCAUGCACGAAAGCGUGGGGAGCAAACAGG
rnacentral:rRNA from 1 species